UGGGAACUGGAUUCGGAAACUAGUGA
rnacentral:piRNA from 1 species